rnacentral:rRNA from 1 species
UACAGAGGGUGCGAGCGUUAAUCGGAAUUACUGGGCGUAAAGCGUGCGUAGGCGGUCAUGUAAGUCGGGGGUGAAAGCCCCGGGCUCAACCUGGGAAUUGCAUUCGAGACUGCAUGGCUAGGAUGCGGAAGAGGGAAGCGGAAUUUCCGGUGUAGCGGUGAAAUGCGUAGAUAUCGGAAGGAACACCAGUGGCGAAAGCGGCUUCCUGGUCCAGCAUCGACGUUCAGGCACGAAAGCGUGGGGAGCAAACAGG